rnacentral:tRNA from 1 species
GCCUGGCUGGCUCAGUCAGUAGAGCAUGCAACUCUUGAUCUUCCGGUUCGUGAGUUCAAGCCCCACGUUGGGCA